GUGGGGAAUAUUGCACAAUGGGGGAAACCCUGAUGCAGCGACGCCGCGUGAACGAAGAAGUAUUUCGGUAUGUAAAGUUCUAUCAGCAGGGAAGAAAAUGACGGUACCUGACUAAGAAGCCCCGGCUAAAUACGUGCCAGCAGCCGCGGUAAUACGUAUGGGGCAAGCGUUAUCCGGAUUUACUGGGUGUAAAGGGAGCGUAGACGGUAAUACAAGUCUGGAGUGAAAGGCAUGGGCUCAACCUGUGGACUGCUCUGGAAACUGUAUAACUAGAGUACCGGAGGGGUAAGCGGAAUUCCUGGUGUAGCGGUGAAAUGCGUAGAUAUCAGGAGGAACACCGGUGGCGAAGGCGGCUUACUGGACGGAAACUGACGUUGAGGCUCGAAAGCGUGGGGAGCAAACAGGAUUAGAAACCCGAGUAGUCC
rnacentral:rRNA from 1 species